UUGAGUCGCGAAAGUCGUCGAGUGCGUUUGCUGAGUGUGGUUUUCGGUUGUCGUUACCGUUAACGUGCGAGUUUCUAACAAAAUUUUGGAUAUAUUUUCAUUAAUAUCGCCGUUGUUGUUGUAACGUGUCAUUUACUUACGUACUUACGCUUGGUGGUUUCUUCAGCUGGCGGAGUCUGCAUCGCUUCUUCAUCGAUGAGUAGUGCGUGUGAGCAAUAUGUUAUUAUUGCAGUAACCUGUAACAACAACAACAACAGCAACUAAUACAACUAAAUAUUAUACAUAAUUGUUUUAGAAACCGCUCGCUUGUCAAAUAAGUAACCUCUAAAGGCGGUGAGUGCGUGUCUUUACAAGUGCCAAGAACGAGUAUUUCUCGUGAUAAUAACAAAAGAGAAAAAAAAAC